rnacentral:rRNA from 1 species
AUCAGUGUGUGUGUUAGUGGAAGCGUCUGGAAAGGCGCGCGAUACAGGGUGACAGCCCCGUACACAAAAAUGCACAUACUGUGAGCUCGAUGAGUAGGGCGGGACACGUGGUAUCCUGUCUGAAUAUGGGGGGACCAUCCUCCAAGGCUAAAUACUCCUGACUGACCGAUAGUGAACCAGUACCGUGAGGGAAAGGCGAAAAGAACCCCGGCGAGGGGAGUGAAAAAGAACCUGAAACCGUGUACGUACAAGCAGUGGGAGCACAGAGCAAUCUGUGUGACUGCGUACCUUUUGUAUAAUGGGUCAGCGACUUAUAUUCUGUAGCAAGGUUAACCGAAUAGGGGAGCCGAAGG